rnacentral:tRNA from 1 species
UUAAUUGAAGCCAAAAAUUAGAGGCACUUCAUUGUUAAUGAAAUCAAUGGUAAAACCCAAUUAAA